rnacentral:rRNA from 1 species
UGGGGAAUAUUGGUCAAUGGAGGCAACUCUGAUCCAGCCAUGCCGCGUGAAGGAUGAAGGCGCUACGCGUUGUAAACUUCUUUUCUCUUAGAAAAAGCUACUGGUUUCGUACCGGUACUGAUUGUACAAGAGGAAUAAGCAUCGGCUAACUACGUG